rnacentral:tRNA from 3 species
GCCGUCUUAGCUCAGCUGGUAGAGCACUUGACUUGUAAUCAUGAGGUCUCCGGUUCGAUUCCGGGAGACGGCU